rnacentral:rRNA from 1 species
UCGAGAAUUUUUCACAAUGGGCGCAAGCCUGAUGGAGCGACGCCGCGUGGGGGAUGAAGGGUUUCGAUCCGUAAACCCCUGUCAUUUGCGAACAAACCUUGAUUGUGAAUAGCGAUCGAGCUGAUUGUAGCGGAAGAGGAAGGGACGGCUAACUCUGUGCCAGCAGCCGCGGUAAUACAGAGGUCCCAAGCGGUGUUCGGAUUCACUGGGCGUAAAGGGUCCCUAGGUGGUCGGUGAAGUUCGGUGUGAAAGCUCGGAGCUCAACUCCGAAACGGCAUUGAAAACUCAUCGGCUGGAGGGUCGGAGGGGAGACUGGAAUUCUCGGUGUAGCAGUGAAAUGCGUAGAUAUCGAGAGGAACACCAGUGGCGAAGGCGAGUCUCUGGACGACUCCUGACACUGAGGCACGAAAGCCAGGGGAGCAAACAG